AUUGAACGCUGGCGGCAGGCCUAGCACAUGCAAGUCGAGCGGAUGAAGGGAGCUUGCUCCUGGAUUCAGCGGCGGACGGGUGAGUAAUGCCUAGGAAUCUGCCUGGUAGUGGGGGAUAACGUCCGGAAACGGGCGCUAAUACCGCAUACGUCCUGAGGGAGAAAGUGGGGGAUCUUCGGACCUCACGCUAUCAGAUGAGCCUAGGUCGGAUUAGCUAGUUGGUGGGGUAAAGGCCUACCAAGGCGACGAUCCGUAACUGGUCUGAGAGGAUGAUCAGUCACACUGGAACUGAGACACGGUCCAGACUCCUACGGGAGGCAGCAGUGGGGAAUAUUGGACAAUGGGCGAAAGCCUGAUCCAGCCAUGCCGCGUGUGUGAAGAAGGUCUUCGGGUUGUAAAGCACUUUAAGUUGGGAGGAAGGGCAGUAAGUUAAUACCUUGCUGUUUUGACGUUACCAACAGAAUAAGCACCGGCUAACUUCGUG
rnacentral:rRNA from 1 species